UACGAAGGGUGCAAGCGUUACUCGGAAUCACUGGGCGUAAAGCGUGCGUAGGCGGCCUGUUGCGUCCGCUGUGAAAGCCCGGGGCUUAACCCCGGGUCUGCAGUGGAUACGGGCAGGCUAGAGGUAGGUAGGGGAGAAUGGAAUUCCCGGUGUAGCGGUGAAAUGCGCAGAUAUCGGGAGGAACACCGGUGGCGAAGGCGGUUCUCUGGGCCUUACCUGACGCUGAGGAGCGAAAGCGUGGGGAGCGAACAGG
rnacentral:rRNA from 1 species